rnacentral:lncRNA from 10 species
GCACCCAGGGUCUUAUAGAGCAAUAGGAUUGGGGAUCAGGAGUACAAAAGGAAAGAAUUGAUGUUCAGCUUUUGACGGAAUAGGAUCCUGCAGUCUUUAGCCAGAUAAUGGUCUUGAAAGCCAGGCUUUGUUGAGAGAGGGGAAAGGCUUUCUAAGUCUCCAAAGCCGUCUUUGCAUAUCAAGAGCCCUGCCUGGCAGAGUCUGAGAUCACAGGAGGAGUGUGGAAACGAUGAAGGAGAUGGAAAGGGACAUUCCUACUGGACAAGAUAAGCGAGCAGAGGGCACUCUGGGGAGCAUUAUGACCAUGUGAUUGAUGAUGGUGGUGACAAGGGCACGAUCUACUUGGGAACCCUCCCAGCAUGUGACAGGAGGCAUCUACAGUGAUUAGUCAGGGGCCACGUAGGGGCUGCCUGCUGGCUUCCGGCCUCUCACAGCAGUGGCUUCUGAGCCAUUACUCUUUCUGCACUGUGUGAGGAGGCCAAGACGGAAAGCUUCAAAUACGCCUGGCAAAAUGAUGUGCAAGAAAGGAUCACGCAUCUCAUGCCAAUUACGAUGUUGGAAGAGAAUAGAGUCUAAUUAUCCUACAAUUACCUUUAUUUAUCAAACUCAGAGUGAAGCUUGAUUAUGAAGCGUCUCAUGAGAGCUAUCUGGGGUCGGAGGUGGUCUGUGUUCCAACAGGUAUCCCAGCCACCGUGAGAGGAGAGACCAGCCUGUGGGGGCAUCUGAGGAGCGAGGAUAGGGCCUUGGGCUGGCUUGCAGUCUGUCAUGCCCCCUUCCUGGGUGGCGUGGAAAGCUGAGACUCAGUGUGCACCCACCCUGUGCUUGACGCUGUGCUGAGACUUUUCACACAUGCUGUGGAGUUCCUUUUGUGGAUCACAAAUGAGAUACCAUUUAAUCCUCCAAACAAGGCUUGACCAAGGUGUCACUGGAAAUCUUCCUAGGGCCCUCUGGGUGGAUCAAAUGACUCUCCAUACCCCACUCCCCAGCCCUUGGUGGGGUCUUUACUGUCCUGAGGGUUGAACUGUCCAAAGCUGUCUUUGUCUGAACUGAGAUUUCUGCAAAGGCCAAGACAAUUUUUGACUCAUGUUGGUAUCCCCAGUAGUUGGUAUCCCCUGGGACAGAACCUCCGGUAGAGUCUUUAUAAAUGUUUGUCGAAUCAAUGAGUGACCGUAAGGAAACUAAGGCUCAUGAGAGGUUCAGUAACUUGCCCGAGAACAGACAGUUAAUCAUUCUCAGAGCCAAGAAUCAAUCUGUUUGAGAGCUUCAUACUAAUGAGAGGAGAGAGUUCAAGGGCUUUGAAAAGUAUGCGGGACCAAGGAUAAGCUAAAGGCACUGUCACCAUCAUUGCACGGUCACAUGUCCACAAUAAAGAGAGGACCACUGGGAUGCAUCAGAAUACAC